rnacentral:rRNA from 1 species
UGGGGAAUAUUGGACAAUGGACCGAGAGUCUGAUCCAGCAAUUCUGUGUGCACGAUGAAGUUUUUCGGAAUGUAAAGUGCUUUCAGUUGGGAAGAAAAAAAUGACGGUACCAACAGAAGAAGAGUGACGGUAACAUCNGNAGAAGCGCCGGCUAUAAUACGUAUGUCACGAGCGUUAUCCGGAUUUAUUGGGCGUAAAGCGCGUCUAGGUGGUUAUAUAAGUUUGAUGUGAAAAUACAGGGCUCAAAUCUGUNUUGGCGUUGGAAACUGUAUAACUAGAGUACUGGAGAGGUAAGCGGAACUACAAGUGUAGAGGUGAAAUUCGUAGAUAUUUUGUAGGAAUGCCGAUGGGGAAGCCAGCUUACUGGACAGAUACUGACGCUGAAGCGCGAAAGCGUGGGUAGCAAACAGGAUUAGAUACCCUGGUAGUCCACGCCGUAAACGAUGAUUACUAGGUGUUGGGGGUCGAACCUCAGCGCCCAAGCAAACGCGAUAAGUAAUCCGCCUGGGGAGUACGUACGCAAGUAUG